rnacentral:rRNA from 1 species
UUUCCGGGUGGAUCUGCCGGAGGCCAUUGCUAUGGGGAUCCGAUUUAGACAUGCUAGUCGCACGAGUUAGACUCGUGGCAGAUAGCUCAGUAACACGUGGCCAAACUACCCUCUGGACGAGAAUAUCCUCGGGAAACUGAGGCUAAUACUCAAAACACUCCUGUCCUGGAAUGGGCGGAGAGCCAAACGCUCCGGCGCCAGAGGCUGUGGCUGCGGCCGAUUAGGUAGACGGUGGGGUAACGGCCCACCGUGCCAGUAAUCGGUACGGGUUGUGAGAGCAAGAGCCCGGAGACGGUAUCUGAGACAAGAUACCGGGCCCUACGGGGCGCAGCAGGCGCGAAACCUUUACACUGCACGACAGUGCGAUAAGGGGAUCCCCAGUGCGAGGGCAUACAGUCCUCGCUUUUCACCACCGUACGAUGGUGGUGGAACAAGAGCUGGGCAAGACCGGUGCCAGCCGCCGCGGUAAUACCGGCAGCUCGAGUGAUGGCCGUUCUUAUUGGGCCUAAAGCGUCCGUAGCCGGCCACGCAAGUUCGUCGGGAAAUCCACACGCUCAACGUGUGGGCGUCCGGCGAAACCUGCGUGGCUUGGGACCGGACGGCCCGAGGGGUACGGCCGGGGUAGGAGUGAAAUCCUGUAAUCCCGGCCGGACCACCGGUGGCGAAAGCGCCUCGGGAGGACGGAUCCGACGGUGAGGGACGAAAGCCAGGGUCACGAACCGGAUUAGAUACCCGGGUAGUCCUGGCCGUAAACGAUGCCCGUUAGGUGGGCGUAGGCUACGAGCCUACGCUGUGCCGCAGUGAAGACGCUAAACGGGCCGCCUGGGAA